rnacentral:rRNA from 1 species
UACGUAGGGUGCGAGCGUUGUCCGGAUUUAUUGGGGCGUAAAGGGCUCGUAGGCGGCGUGUCGCGUCGGGAGUGAAAGCCCGUUGCUUAACGGGCGGGUUGGCGUUUCGGUACGGGCAUGCUGGAGUGCGGCAGGGGAGACUGGAAUUCCUGGUGUAGCGGUGGAAUGCGCAGAUAUCAGGAGGAACACCGGUGGCGAAGGCGGGUCUCUGGGCCGAUACUGACGCUGAGGAGCGAAAGCGUGGGGAGCGAACAGG